GAUACAGCUCAGAGGGUGUAAAUCUAAAAACAUUUUUGUUGGCGAGAUACAUCGGGGUGGUGUUAGUGUCAUAGGACAGUAGUUAAAAUGACAAGCUCAAAGCCUUAGCCAGGAGUGCGAGAGUACUUGGCUGAAAAAUGGGCAUACAGCAGGGAGAAAGCACUAAAAAAAAAAAAAAAAAAAGGUUGGCAACCAGAUAGCCCAGACCACAAACAGACUGAGUGGUUUCAAAAAGGAACAAAGGACUUGGUACAGUGCCAAAAGGGCGUUGGCUAAGAGUAAGCAGGCAGAACUCGAUUUUGAUGUAAAAUCAAGGGGAGAAGAAAAGGACGAAAUAGAUUGGGGUUAUUUAGAGUGGAAAGCCAGAGAAUGGCAGAUGAUUUGGUGGAAAGUGGCAGUGGCUACAGGAAAGUCUGAAAUGGCAGAGGAACCGCAAGGAGAUUACAGUGAAUAUAUCAAUCCCCGGGGACAACGCAUGCAACCAGGAGGAAAAACAGGUCGUGCCUCCAUACCUAGGGGCAGAACGACCUUAUCCCCUUGACCAAUACUGUAAUGACGUCUUUACACCCCACAAUGACACCUCCCCUGUCCCCAGACCUUCACCCCUUCACCACAUGAGUUCAUAGAGGUGGAGGAACCAUUAGGGUUCAUUGAGGAGGUGGUCUGACACCGAGUCACAGUGCAUUGUGAUUACUCAUUAGAAUUGUUACAGACCCAUUGUUCUGAUUUCUUAUCUCUGACUACGAUAUUCACAGACCAAAUGAAAGAUGCACUCACCCGAUACGUAAAACAGAGUACUUACCAGUCCACAGCGCAAGCGAGAUAUUCUAUCUGAAGCAGCAGGUUGGUUUGGGGCAGCUCAUGAAUAAUGUGAAUGCUGAGUUUCAGAAACAGCAGAAUGAUGAGACAAACUGGUAUAAUGCUCAAAGCUUUAUCAAUACAGCUACAGGGGUACAUUAUAAUGCUGUUGCUAUUAAAUUAGUGGUGAAAGCUUUUAAGGACUUAAUUACGGCAGUAAUGACAGAUGUAAAUGUUAUACAACAUGAAGAGAGAUGUUAUAGAAUGGGGACCCUCAUGGUGGCACACGUUAAUCGUGAUAUAACAGAUCUAUUAAAUAAUAGGCUCCCUAUCUCACACAGAUCAUCUUUACAGAAUAAAAAAGGAGGCCUCGGAAUUGAAUGGGCGGCUGACAUAUGGGACGCUGUACUCACCCGCCCAAAUCAAGACUCCAGACAUACAUUAUCAAAUUAUGAUCCUUUCAGUGCAAGCGUUGGGGAUGCCAGAGGGAAACCAUGUCUAUACCCUUAAUAAUAUAAGAUGGGUAGCUACUGGUAGUAUGUUUAAUAUUGAAUGUUGUAUUCAAGUCAAAAGAAUUGUUGUAUGUACUUGUAAUGCUCGCAUGAACGCAACUAAUCUAUCAUUGAGGGCAGAAGUACGCUCAUUACGGGGGUUUGAGCAGAUUGUGCAACUAAACCAAACCCAUUGGUCACCUAUCAAUGGGUACCCGGCUCUGUGCUAUUAAUAUUAAUUAUUGCUCAUAUGUAAAUUAAACUAUGACUUUAGGCAGCCAUGUUAUACAUCCCUCAACCCCUCAGCUGAUUAAGUAUCAGGACCAGCAAGCUCAGGCAUUUUUGCACACAAUAGACCAUAAACCCUUAUAUCAAACAAUUAAGAAAAUAACCGAGGCUCUAACUGAAAUUCAGCAUGAAGCAGUGUUAGCUGAGGUACAUGCUAAAAUGGCUCUAAAAUAAAUCUGUCCCGGACAUCUGGUAAAGAUUGGGAGUUUGGUAAAGGUGGACCUGACUGGUUUAGUUGGUGAAACAUCUCUGGUAGGAUUGCAUCCUUAGGCUCAUUUGUGUGCCUGAUUAUUGUACUCAUCGUAUUCUGGAGAAUGCGGAGGAACAUGCGCACCAACAAGAGUGCAGACAUCUGCAAGAUCAACCCCUGAGACCUGCACCCAUCUACCAAAAUGCUUUGAGCAUUUAAGACAUUAGGUCCCUGACAAGUGCUAGUAACCUCUGGCGGGGACCCGAAGAUCAAGUCCUGUGGUCUAUCUGACCUAUGGUCAUGGACCAUAAGGGGGGACUGAAGGAACCGAACAGGAUAGCAGUAUCAACCAACAAUCAUUUAGGUGCGGUUUUACAAUGUUUAGUAAGGAA